rnacentral:rRNA from 1 species
AGCGAACGCUGGCGGCAGGCUUAACACAUGCAAGUCGAACGCCCCGCAAGGGGAGUGGCAGACGGGUGAGUAACACGUGGGAACGUACCCUUUGGUUCGGAAUAACUUGGGGAAAUUCAAGCUAAUACCGGAUAAGCCCUUAUGGGGAAAGGUUUACUGCCGAAGGAUCGGCCCGCGUCUGAUUAGCUAGUUGGUGAGGUAAUGGCUCACCAAGGCGACGAUCAGUAGCUGGUCUGAGAGGAUGAUCAGCCACACUGGGACUGAGACACGGCCCAGACUCCUACGGGAGGCAGCAGUGGGGAAUAUUGGACAAUGGGGGCAACCCUGAACCAGCCAUGCCGCGUGAGUGAUGAAGGCCUUAGGGUUGUAAAGCUCUUUUACCCGGGACGAUAAUGACUGUACCGGGAGAAUAAGCCCCGGCUAACUUCGUGCCAGCAGCCGCAGUAA